UGAAUUGUGCUGCUACAAACAUUCGAGUGCAGGUGUCUUUUUCAUAGAGUGACUUUUGCUCUUUUGGGUAGAUCGGCCGCACACUCUUGAGUGACUUUAUCCAGUCCCAAGGUCCGUCCGUCACAAGUGACUCCCACGCUGACGCAGUGGAGGUCGUCACUGUGCCCGGCUGGGGAAUGCUGGGUGCUGCAGCUCCUCCCCCCAAAGCAGGGGCCGUUGAGGGUGCAAAUCCUCAGACAUGCAGAGGCCUCUGGGGCCAGGAAGAACCUGGACUUCAGCUGAUGACUGCGGGGCUUGGUGAUGUUUGUUCUGACUGAUGAAAGUCACUCGGGCCAGCCCGGCUUUCACCAGCAGCGUGGCUCCGCCCACAGCCCACGCCCUCGACUCGUGGCCACUCGGACUGACCGGCCGUGUGAAGCCGCGGGAGCCUGCGUUUGCACAGGGAUUGCCUUGAUGCUAAGCCCGUGCUUCUUGGUGACCACACAGCCUCGAUCCCAAUCAUUUCCCCGGGGGGCUCUUUCACUUGAUUAAUUAUUUCCACUGAGGAAGCUGCCAGGCGAGAGGUCGGAGUUCAUCUCCUGGCAGCCUUGCACCGAAACACGGGUAUUCUAAAAAAAAUAAAAAUAAAAAGUUUUCAGCCUUCA